rnacentral:rRNA from 1 species
UACGGGAGGCAGCAGUGGGGAAUAUUGCACAAUGGGCGCAAGCCUGAUGCAGCCAUGCCGCGUGUAUGAAAAAGGCCUUCGGGUUGUAAAGUACUUUCAGUCGUGAGGAAGGUGUUAAGGUUAAUAACCUUAGCAAUUGACGUUAGCGACAGAAGAAGCACCGGCUAACUCCGUGCCAGCAGCCGCGGUAAUACGGAGGGUGCGAGCGUUAAUCGGAAUUACUGGGCGUAAAGGGCACGCAGGCGGUUAAUUAAGUUGGAUGUGAAAUCCCCGGGCUUAACCUGGGAAUGGCAUUCAAGACUGGUUAGCUAGAGUCUUGUAGAGGGGGGUAGAAUUCCGAUGUGUAGCGGUGAAAUGCGUAGAGAUGUGGAGGAAUACCGGUGGCGAAGGCGGCCCCUGGACAAAGACUGACGCUCAUGUGCGAAAGCGUGGGGAGCAAACGAGGGAUUUAGAUACCCGU